ensembl:lncRNA
AUGAGUUUGGGCAUUUUUAGUGUCUGACUCAUGUCUGGAGAUUUCUGCUAUAUUCCAGAAUCCUUUAACUUUUGUGUUUUUUCUUUCUGCCUUUGACAAUGACACACUAAUAGCUUCAGGCUUCCUACUGCCUUCUCGUGCAUAUUGCCCUCCUUUGUUUUCUGUUAGAGACAAAAUGUCAGAAUUUUAGAUGGUGGUUUUUGUGAUCAUGGCAAGAGUUAAGGAAAUUUUGGUGGAUCCAGUGAUGACUGAUUGGAGCUUCUUCAGCCUGAGUUUCCACAUUUCAUCUUUGGUUGUCUUUUGUUUCAUGAGACCACACCAUAAACUCAUACCAGGAACGAGGAAACACAUCUCUGAGAGCCACUGAACUAUCACACAUAUAAGGGAUCUGAAACACUGUGAACCAGCACACCUUUGGCUUUCCAUGAGACCUAGAUUUCUGACAGCCCACAUCUCUCUGAAAGUCUCAUCGAGUCCCCCUUGGAGCCCCUACUUCCAAUAACAACAACUCCCUUCCUCCCCAAGGCAGCCAGCCCUCACCAUGGAGCCAGCCUCCCC